UACAGAGGUCUCAACCGUUGUUCGGAUUCAUUGGGCGUAAAGGGUGCGUAGGCGGUCGCGCAAGUCGGAUGUGAAAUCUCGAGGCUCAACCUCGAAACUGCAUUCGAUACUGCAUGGCUAGAGUGCUGGAGGGGAGACUGGAAUUUACGGUGUAGCAGUGAAAUGCGUAGAUAUCGUAAGGAAGACCAGUGGCGAAGGCGAGUCUCCGGACAGCAACUGACGCUGAGGCACGAAGGCCAGGGGAGCAAACGGG
rnacentral:rRNA from 1 species